rnacentral:rRNA from 1 species
GGUUUAAUUCGAUGAUACGCGAGGAACCUUACCCGGGCUUGAAUUGCAGAGGAAGGAUUUGGAGACAAUGACGCCCCUUCGGGGUCUCUGUGAAGGUGCUGCAUGGUUGUCGUCAGCUCGUGCCGUGAGGUGUCGGCUUAAGUGCCAUAACGAGCGCAACCCCUCUCCUUAGUUGCCAUCAGGUAAAGCUGGGCACUCUGGGGACACUGCCACCGUAAGGUGUGA